AACUGGGAUGUGAGCAGGGAGGUGGGGGUGAGCUGGGUCUCUGCCCCUCUAAGCAAAGCCCUCUCUGCCCCAUGCUGCAGGUGCUGGCGUGACCACCCAGGACAUCUGCAGCGCUCCAGGACUGCAGGAGCAUGGAGGUGGGUCCCAAAAAUUAACGUGUUCUGGGGAAACAGAUGGAAAGAAAGAAGGGGAUUAUUCCCUCACAAUUCCCCCUGGAAACCCCAAGACAGCAGACUCCUCCAGCCUUGGCAUGCAGUUGGUUUUGCCACCCGGCAGUCACUAACUCUUGCCUGGGGAAUCCCUCUCCCUUCUCUCCAGGUAACGACCAGACUCCAGUCCUGUACCUCAACGCUUCCAGUGCCAAGGAAGGGGAAAUAAUUCUCUUUCAGUGUGCCAUUGAUGGGCAGUUUCCUGCUACGCGAGUUGUCUUCUGCAAGAAUGGGCAGGAGGAGUUCAGCCUGAAAGCCCAGCAGGGCAAGGUCAUCUAUGCUCUGGUCCUGAACAUCACCUCGAGAAGUGCUGGGACGUACAAGUGUGGGUACCAGCAGAGGAACGAGAGCAACUGGGUGAGGAACUCUGCUCUCAGUGCUCCCCAGACCUUGUCUGUGGCAGGUGCAGGUGAUGGUGAGACCACCACUGAUAUCCAGAGCUCCCCAGGUGAGGACAAGCAUGAGGGUGUGCCAGCUGCACGGGCAUGUCCUGCUCCCUACCUCUCCCCAUCACAGCCCGCUGCCCUCACACCCACUGUCCCCUGACUCCCCAUGCCCGGCUCCCGCACACCCUCUCCACAGCCAUGGUGCUUGCAGUGGUGCCUCUCAUCCUCAUCCUCCUGGGUACAGGCAGCUGGUUUAUCAUCAGGAAAGGUGAAGGAGUGGGGGAAGGCCAGGGAAAGGCUGAGGACCUGGGGGUCCUGCUGUGGGGCUGGUGCAGUGGGAAAGGUGGUGGGGGGAACCUGGGGGUGCACGGCUGGGGGAGACGGUGCCUGGGGGUGAUGUCUGUGGGCAGCCCAGCUGGGGAGGCUGCUGAGGGAGCUGGGGAGCUUCAGCCUUUGUCCCCCAGCCCCGAGACUGGAGCCAGGACUGG
rnacentral:lncRNA from 1 species